rnacentral:rRNA from 1 species
CCCUUAGAUGCUCUGGGCCGCACGCGCGCUACACUGGUCGAUGCAACGAGUUUCUUUCCUUGGCCGACAGGCCUGGGCAAUCUUUGAACAUCGAUCGUGAUCGGGAUAGAUUCUUGUAAUUUUUGAUCUUAAACGAGGAAUUCCUAGUAAACGCAAGUCAUCAGCUUGCAUUGAUUACGUCCCUGCCCUUUGUACACACCGCCCGUCGCACCUACCGAUUGAAUGGUCCGGUGAAAUCUCGGGACGGCGGCUUGGUCGCUUGCGUCCGACUGCUGAAACUUGAUUAAACCAUAUCAUUUAGAGGAAGGUGAANUCGUAACA